CGCAUUUACAAGCAUUUAAACUUGAUUUCCAAGAUAUAUUGAGGUUAAUCUUGGGUUUUAGCUCACAUUUAUUGCUAGUGAAUUAUAAGGAGCCGAGUUUAAACGAUACCAGCUGCAUAUUAAACUUCGACGAAGCCAAGCAAGCAGACAAAGUUCGGGAACCUGUCAAUCAUUAACACACCCUUGAUCGCAUAGCUGCACAGCAGGACAGAAAACUUUCAACAAAGUAUUCAAGCAAGCAGACAAAGUUUGGGCCACAUUUAUUGGAAGUGAAGAAUAAAGGCUCUGAUAUCAGCUGUUAUCUACAACCAACGACUGUCUGAGUAUAUGGACAACUGCUGUGUCAUGAUUUGAUGAUAAAUCUCGCUUGAAUGUGAAGUUCUCCUUGGUUAACUACCUUUGGACACAAAUUUGAAGACUUUGGAGUUUAUUUGAAUAUCAGUAAGUUGAAGAAGAAAGGCCAAGAAAAUGCCAUUUGAAGAUGGGAUAGGACCCGGCCGACCUCGUCCUGCAGAAGGAACUGAAGGAACAGCUUCAAUAAUACUGACUCUUAAAGACAAGCAGGAGCCACUGGAACUGAAUGGUUGUAUUAUCGCCAAUGAUGAGAAUUUUAAGAAGUUAWUUSAAGAUGACACAAUCUUGGAACAACAUGAGAAAACAAAGUUUUUUAUAUAUUUUUGUUGUCAUGAAAAUUUGAAAUUGAGCAAUUUGGUCGAAACUGAGAUAAAAGUCCACCGCUUUACUAAACCAGAUAGAGACAAACAUUGUACCAUAAAACAUGCAACAGA